GAUGAACGCUGGCGGCGUGCCUAAUACAUGCAAGUCGAGCGAAUGAAGAGGAGCUUGCUCCUCUGAUUUAGCGGCGGACGGGUGAGUAACACGUGGGUAACCUGCCUGUAAGACGGGGAUAACUUCGGGAAACCGAAGCUAAUACCGGAUGAUAAAGAGAAACGCCUGUUUCUUUUUUGAAAGUCGGCCUUGUGCUGACGCUUCCAGAUGGGCCCGCGGCGCAUUAGCUAGUUGGUGAGGUAACGGCUCACCAAGGCGACGAUGCGUAGCCGACCUGAGAGGGUGAUCGGCCACACUGGGACUGAGACACGGCCCAGACUCCUACGGGAGGCAGCAGUAGGGAAUCUUCGGCAAUGGACGAAAGUCUGACCGAGCAACGCCGCGUGAGCGAUGAAGGCCUUCGGGUCGUAAAGCUCUGUUGUCAGAGAAGAACAAGUACCGGAGUAACUGCCGGUACCUUGACGGUACCUGACCAGAAAGCCACGGCUAACUACGUGCCAGCAGCCGCCGCUGUAA
rnacentral:rRNA from 1 species